rnacentral:rRNA from 1 species
GACGAACGCUGGCGGCGUGCUUAACACAUGCAAGUCGAACGGUGAAGCUCCAGCUUGCUGGAGUGGAUCAGUGGCGAACGGGUGAGUAACACGUGAGCAACCUGCCCCUGACUCUGGAAUAAGCGCUGGAAACGGCGUCUAAUACUGGAUACGAGAAGGGUCCGCAUGGGCACUUUCUGGAAAGUUUUUCGGUUGGGGAUGGGCUCGCGGCCUAUCAGCUUGUUGGUGAGAUAAUGGCUCACCAAGGCGACGACGGGUAGCCGGCCUGAGAGGGCGACCGGCCACACUGGGACUGAGACACGGCCCAGACUCCUACGGGAGGCAGCAGUGGGGAAUAUUGCACAAUGGGCGAAAGCCUGAUGCAGCGACGCCGCGUGAGGGAUGACGGCCUUCGGGUUGUAAACCUCUUUCAGCAGGGAAGAAGCGAAAGUGACGGUACCUGCAGAAGAAGCACCGGCUAACUACGUG